GCCGGGGGUUGGGAGCCAAAAAAAGGGUCCAGGCCCCAGCCCCCGCGCCUGGCACUUCAGCGGGCACCGGGCGCUCCCGCGCUGCCGCCUGCGAAGCCGGGGCGGAGCGCGCGGAGCCGGCUGCAGGGCUCGGGAAUCCGCGGCCGCCGCCUCUAAUCCGGCCUUAAGUAGUCUCCGCCUGCGUCACGCCAGGUCGGCGGAGGGGAGUCGAGCGCUGCGGGCGGCUGUAGCUGCGCGCCGGAGCCCGAGGGGCAGGGGAUGCGCGCAGGGAGAGAGGGGGCCAGAGUCCUGGGGCCCCGGCAGGGAGUGGGGCGACUUCGAGAGGAAGGAUCGCAGCGCCCCUCGGGGCUUCUCCGGGUGCCCAGGUAACCUCACCUGACUGCCAGCCCCCGGCAGGAGGGGCAGCCUGGAGCAGACUCGCGGAGAUGGGAUAAUCUUCCAUUAAGUACAGUACCUUGAAAAGUACAGAAGUGCAGUACAACAGCUGGCACACGGGCUGGCAUCGGGUGAACCGGCAAGAAGAGUUACUGACUGGAGGAGGGAGAGGAGGUGGGAGAUGGUAGAGCUGAAGGAUCGUCAGCAAUAGAAGACAGAGGGCAAGCUGCAAUUUCACUCACGCCUGACGUUGGUGGAACACACGUUCAUAACUUUGAAAGCUUGCAACUUGAAGGAUUUUAUAGACUUCACUCCAUUCGACCCACGAUCCCAGGAUUUCAAAGAACUGAAGAGACUGAAGACGUCUGUCCCAGAAGUUAGUCACUGAUUAGGCAAAGGUAUCUGGUGCCUGUUGCCUCACAUUUGUUUUGGAACAUGCCCAGUGGUCUUGAUUUAUUUAGGGAAUAUCUGGAAUGGGACAUGGCUGGGCUUAUCUGUCAGCUGGCUUCCGUGUUUCACCGUUAACAUGUAUGGCCCUCAGGAAGAUAACUGAAGAGAAUGAGAAUUGAAACUAAUCUGUUUAAAAUAAUCUUUGACUUUCUCAUUACCAAUAUCUACGUGGUUUCUGCAAAGUCACAAAAACAACUGGAACAUGUGCUAAGACAACAAUUUUCAGUGUCAUCAUAGAAACGAAUCUUAGAGAAUUGUGUUCUCCAAUUCUGUUUCUCGCUUAUGUGGAGCUAAACCUAAUCUGCUUUUCCGAUAUGAAAUAUCUUCAUGAUUCUGUCCCAAAGGGUAAAAUCAAAAUUUAAUAUUGUAACUCCCAGCUAAAAGUCACGCUAAUUCAUCUGAUAAACUUUGUGGUGCUGUGAUAUUACAAUGCUCCCGGUGUCAAGGCCGCCAAUAUACGAGUUCACAGACUGAGUACACAAACACUGGCCCCAUCCUACUCCUACCCCAAACCCCAAACCCCAAACCCCAAAAAGAAAUAAGAGAGGUUUGCUUUUGUAGGUUGCAAGUCCUGGUCUGGUUUAUUUAUAAAGCAAUAAAUAUUAGAAGCACAAAUAAAUUGCACGUGUGUAAACAAACUGUACAAUGAUUGAUGAGAGAUGAGGGAGGGUGGUUCAGAAGACUCCAAGAAGCAUCAUACCGUCAUCCUGAACAUAAGGUAGACUAAGAGAGAAGGCACCUUAGAAGCAUUUGCGGUGGACAAUGGAUGGUCCUGCCUCAUCAUACUCUUGCUUGCUAAUCCACAUCUGCUGGAAGGUGGACAGGGAGGCCAGGAUGGAGCCCCCAAUCCAGACAGAGUACUUACGCUCAGGGGGAGCAAUAAUCUGCAGAAUGAAAACGAAAACCACCAGUGAACUCUGAAGUUCCAAGCAACAGAGCGCAUGUUGGGGAGAUUCACAGAAAGUAUACUGGUGAUCAAUUCACUGUAAUGUGAUACUUCAUUCCCACAAAUGAAUAUGGCUGAGUCAAGUUUAAUGCAUUUCCUCUAUUUCAUCAUUUCCACUAUCAAAGUCACUAUAAAAUAGAACUUCCCCACUUCUCUGAAACAGAAUAUAAUGUGGCAAUAAGCUACAUGCAUGGUGGAGGCUAGCCCGAAAGUGGGGGGGUCUUUUAAAAUGUGUUCAAAGAUUUAGAUAUUUUUUUUCCUUCAAAGAUUUAUUUUUAUCCACUGCUUGAAAGUGUUUCCAAGUCUCCUAUCUUGGGAAAAGUGCUAGAAAAAUCAGAGAAAGUGUUAGAAAAACUAAAAGUUUAUGGGAAACGGGAAGCUAAGCGGUGAGGGGAAAGGAGUUAGGAAUUCUGCUUGGAAUACGGAGAGACCUGUUUUGCUUCCCCCACUCACCUUGAUCUUCAUGGUGCUGGGAGCCAGGGCAGUGAUUUCCUUUUGCAUGCGAUCAGCAAUACCAGGGUACAUGGUGGUACCUCCAGAUAAGACAUUGUUGGCAUACAGAUCCUUGCGAAUAUCAAUGUCACAUUUCAUGAUGCUGUUGUAAGUUGUUUCAUGGAUGCCAGCAGAUUCCAUACCUAGGAACAAGUGUAAAAAAGAAAAAUCACAGUGCCCUCAGGCCAGGGGGCCAGGGUAGAGGGAAGAGAAUAGUACCCCUCUAUGUUGGUACACUGUCACCAUUUGUCUCUGAAACAUAUGUUCCUCUAUAGGACACAUUGCAGGGUUUUGUGGAACAGGUGUCUUAAAAGUGUAGACAGUAAAUCCACAACGGACUGCCAAGAAACAAACAACUGUGUUUAGCACUUGUUUGGAGGGAACACUUGCUGUACCCGUCAGAGUACGGAGAUGGAUUAGAAAAGGAGGAGACACACAU